AUUGAACGCUGGCGGCAGGCCUAACACAUGCAAGUCGAACGGCAGCACAGAAGAGCUUGCUCUUUGGGUGGCGAGUGGCGGACGGGUGAGUAAUGUCUGGGAAACUGCCCGAUGGAGGGGGAUAACUACUGGAAACGGUAGCUAAUACCGCAUAACGUCGCGAGACCAAAGUGGGGGACCUUCGGGCCUCACACCAUCGGAUGUGCCCAGAUGGGAUUAGCUAGUAGGUGGGGUAGUGGCUCACCUAGGCGACGAUCCCUAGCUGGUCUGAGAGGAUGACCAGCCACACUGGAACUGAGACACGGUCCAGACUCCUACGGGAGGCAGCAGUGGGGAAUAUUGCACAAUGGGCGCAAGCCUGAUGCAGCCAUGCCGCGUGUAUGAAGAAGGCCUUCGGGUUGUAAAGUACUUUCAGCGGGGAGGAAGGCGGUGAGGUUAAUAACCUCGCCGAUUGACGUUACCCGCAGAAGAAGCACCGGCUAACUCCGUGCCAGCAGCCGCAGUAA
rnacentral:rRNA from 1 species